UACAGAGGUCUCAAGCGUUGUUCGGAUUCAUUGGGCGUAAAGCGCACGUAGGCGGAUUGUUAAGUCAGGGGUGAAAUCCUGGAGCUCAACUCCAGAACUGCCUUUGAUACUGGCGAUCUCGAGUCCGGGAGAGGUGAGUGGAACUGCGAGUGUAGAGGUGAAAUUCGUAGAUAUCGCAAGAACACCGGUGGCGAAGGCGCGUGAUAGAACGGCUCCGACGGUGAGGGACGAAGCCCUGGGGCGCGAAACCGG
rnacentral:rRNA from 1 species